rnacentral:rRNA from 1 species
UGGUGGUUGUUGCGAGGAGUAAGAACCCGAUCCCAUCCCGAACUCGGCCGUUAAACUCCUCAGCGCCGAUGGUACUAUGUCUCAAGACCUGGGAGAGUAGGUCGCUGCCAGGCC